UCGAACGGCAGCACGGCUAGUUUACAGAUGGGUGGCGAGUGGCGGACGGGUGAGUAAUGCGCAGGAAUAUGCCUUAAAGUGGGGGACAACUUGGGGAAACUCAAGCUAAUACCGCAUAAUCUCUUUGGAGAAAAGCUGGGGACCUUCGGGCCUGGCGCUUUAAGAUUAGCCUGCGUCCGAUUAGCUAGUUGGUAGGGUAAAGGCCUACAAAGGCGACGAUCGGUAGCUGGUCUGAGAGGAUGACCAGCCACACUGGAACUGAGACACGGUCCAGACUCC
rnacentral:rRNA from 2 species